AAAUUUUUUAAGUAUGAAGCGAUAUAUUGCAAUUAGUUUCGACCUAAUCUUAGGUAAAUCUACCC
rnacentral:tRNA from 1 species